rnacentral:rRNA from 1 species
AGCGAACGCUGGCGGCAGGCCUAACACAUGCAAGUCGAACGAACCUUUCGGGGUUAGUGGCGGACGGGUGAGUAACACGUGGGAACGUGCCUUUAGGUUCGGAAUAACUCAGGGAAACGUGUGCUAAUACCGAAUGUGCCCUUCGGGGGAAAGAUUUAUCGCCUUUAGAGCGGCCCGCGUCUGAUUAGCUAGUUGGUUGAGGUAAUGGCUCACCAAGGCGACGAUCAGUAGCUGGUCUGAGAGGAUGAUCAGCCACAUUGGGACUGAGACACGGCCCAAACUCCUACGGGAGGCAGCAGUGGGGAAUCUUGCGCAAUCGGCGAAAGCCUGACGCAGCCAUGCCGCGUGAAUGAUGAAGGUCUUAGGAUUGUAAAAUUCUUUCACCGGGGACGAUAAUGACGGUACCCGGAGAAGAAGCCCCGGCUAACUUCGUG